AUGUCGCCUCCUCACUUUCCCCAAAGGACAGCCUUUCCUACCUCAGGGAAGAAGAAAGAUACAGACUACAGUGAUGGAGACCUGGCAGACGUGCAUGAGAAGCUGCCAUCCAGUGCUGGAGAGGACCGAGCUGUGCUGCUAGGGUUUGCAAUGAUGGGCUUUUCAGUCCUCAUGUUCUUCUUGCUUGGAACAACCAUCCUAAAGCCUUUCAUGCUCAGCACAAGGAGAGAAGAAUCGAACUGCACCACCAUCCACACACAUAUCAUGGAUGACUGGCUGGACUGUGCUUUCACCUGUGGUGUGGACUGCCGCGGUCAGGGGACAUUCCCGUGUCUUCAGGUGUUUGUGAACCUCGCCCAUUCAGGUCAGAAAGCUCUCCUACAUUACAAUGAAGAGGCUGUCCAGAUAAAUUCCAAGUGCUUUUACACACCCAAGUGCCACCGAAAUAGGAAUGAUUUGCUCAACAAUGCUCUGGACAUAAAGGAAUUCUUCGAUCACAAAAAUGGAACCCCCUUUUCAUGCUUCUACAGUCCAGACAGCCAAUCUGAAAAUGUUAUUCUUGUAAAAAAGUAUGACCAAAUGGUUAUCUUCCACUGUUUAUUUUGGCCUUCAUUGACUCUGCUAGGUGGUGCCUUGAUUGUUGGCAUGGUAAGAUUAACACAGCACCUAUCUUUACUGUGUGAAAAAUACAGCACUGCAGUCAGAGAUGAGGUAGGUGGCAAAGUACCCUAUAUGGAACAGCAUCGAUUCAAACUGUGGAGUACGGGGAGGAGCAAAGGAAGGAGUAGAGAAAUCUUAAGAUGGUGGCCAAAUUAAAGUCCUGGCCUUCAGAUGCCUGCAGUUUCUGCAGUUGAGGACCUAACUGUGCCUGCUUGUAAACUAAUCAUGUGAAGGCGUGAUGUUACAGACUGCAAAGUUAAAGAAAAGCAGACAUUGACAGUUUCUGAUGAGCACAAACAGUAAGUGCAGUCACAGGCCAAACUUCUUGCUAGGAAAAGCAAGACUGGGAAGAGGUCUUAAAUUUAGUGAUACUGUAUUAUUCUAUAUUCUUAAUAUAAUAACACAUGCAUCUUGCUGUGUCACAUACUUUUUGGGCCAUCAUUAAAAGUACAUUAAAAACAUUUUUCUUCUAACUAAUGCAGUAUAACACAGGACUUCAAUUCAUUGAAUGACAAAAUAUAGAGAAAUAGAAUUGCUACAAUUAUAGGG